UACGUAGGCAGCAAGCGUUGUUCGGAGUUACUGGGCGUAAAGGGUGUGUAGGCGGUUUUUUAAGUUUGGUGUGAAAUCUCCCGGCUCAACUGGGAGGGUGCGCCGAAUACUGAAAGACUAGAGUGCGGGAGAGGAAAGUGGAAUUCCUGGUGUAGCGGUGAAAUGCGUAGAUAUCUGGAGGAACACCGGUGGCGAAGGCGGCAUCCUGGACCAACACUGACGCUGAUGAGCGAAAGCCAGGGGAGCAAACGGG
rnacentral:rRNA from 1 species